rnacentral:rRNA from 1 species
AGUGAACGCUGGCGGUAGGCCUAACACAUGCAAGUCGAACGGCAGCACAGUAAGCGCUUGCUCUUACGGGUGGCGAGUGGCGGACGGGUGAGGCAUACAUCGGAAUCUACUUUUUCGUGGGGGAUAACGUAGGGAAACUUACGCUACUACCGCAUACGACCUACGGGUUAAAUCAAGAGAUCUUCGGGCCUUGCGCGAUUGAAUGAGCCGAUGUCGGAUUAGCUAGUUGGCGAGGUAAAGGCCCACCAAGGCGACGAUACGUAGCUGGUCUGAGAGGAUGAUCAGCCACACUGGAACUGAGACACGGUCCAGACUCCUACGGGAGGCAGCAGUGGGGAAUAUUGGACAAUGGGCGCAAGCCUGACCCAGCCAUACCGCGUGAGUGAAGAAGGUCUUCGGGUCGUAAAGCUCUUUUGUUAGGAAAGAAAAGCAGCGGGUGAAAACAUCGCUGUUCUGACGGUACCCAAAGAAUAAGCACCGGCUAACUUCGUG